UACGUAGGGUGCGAGCGUUGUCCGGAAUUACUGGGCGUAAAGCGUGCGCAGGCGGUUCGUUGUGUCGGCGGUGAAAGCCCCGGGCUUAACCUGGGAAUGGCCGUUGAAACUGGCGAACUGGAGUGUGGCAGAGGGGGGUGGAAUUCCGCGUGUAGCAGUGAAAUGCGUAGAUAUGCGGAGGAACACCGAUGGCGAAGGCAAUCCCCUGGGCCUGCACUGACGCUCAUGCACGAAAGCGUGGGGAGCAAACAGG
rnacentral:rRNA from 1 species